CCUACGGUGGGCAGCAGUAGGGAAUCUUCCACAAUGAGCGAAAGCUUGAUGUAGUAACGCAGCGUGGAUGAAGAAGGUCUUCGGAUCGUAAACCGCUGUUGUAAGAGAAGAAAGUGCGUAAGAGUAAAUGGUCAAGUUUCGACGGUAACUAACCAGAAAGCCACGGCUAACUACGUGCCAGCUGCCGCGGUAAUACCUAGGUCACAAGCGUUAUCCGGAUUUAUUGGGGGUAAAGGGAUCUCAGGGGGUCUUUUAAGUCUGAUGUUCAAGUCUUGGGCCUAACCGGAGUAGUGCAUUGGAUACUGGGAGACUAGAGUGAUGAAGAGGAGAGCGGAACUCUAUGUGGAGCGGUGAAAUGCGUAGAUAUAUGGAAGAAAACCAGCGGCGAAAGCAGCUCUCUGGUCUUUAACUGACGCUGAAGUUCGAAAGCGUGGGUAGCAAACAGGAUUAGAUACCCCGGUAGUC
rnacentral:rRNA from 1 species